ACUCAACGAAGUUUACAUUAAAAGAGGUGAUUUGCCGUUGUAAGAGCAAGCUGUUUUGUACAGAUCCUCGAUCAGUGGGGUAGCCUCAAACCUGUCUAAUUAAGGGUUU
rnacentral:ncRNA from 2 species